rnacentral:rRNA from 1 species
AUGCCGGACACUGCACCAAUUAAAGUGGCUGCAGAAGCAGAAUGGCGCAACCAACAGUACGGUGAGUACCACAGUACAGUUAUGCGACAUGCAUGUCCAAGUCUGCUGGUUCGCGCCACAAUUUGUGUUGCAAACCUCCAAUAUCUGGACCGUUUAACGCGUCGGAGAGAAACAGUAGGCAAGCAGCAAGCAGCUCCGUCAAGGGGUGCUCCUGUGCUGCAUGCAUGCUGGCCGAUGCUAGACAUGUGCAUGUGCACGCUGGCCAGAGCAAUCGAGGCCCCGGCCGCGCGUGACGCUCCGUACGUCGGUGUGCACUGA